AAAACGGCCCUCUUCAGGGCCAAGCAAUAUGCCAGACAGGUUCUGG
rfam:Chelonia mydas contig216383, whole genome shotgun sequence.